CAGGUUGUGUUCUGUUUUCCACUUCUCUUAUCCUUUUGGCAGAGAGAGAAGUAAGAGGUAUAAUGUGUAUAAUUUAAAUUUUGUACUACAAGUAUCUUGGUGGGCUAUAUCAACAUUUCAGGCUUAAUUUAUGCUAUUUUGAUCAUAAAAAUGAAGUUACCACAAUUAAUAACAUCAUAAUACCGAAGAUAAGUAAGAAGGGCUGUCUGUUUACUACUAUGAUGUAUUUGUAAGGAAUCUAUGUUAAGGAUUUUGUAGUUAGUUUAUGCUUGCAUUCAUAUCUUCAUUUCAUGCAGGCUACUGUGUAUUUGUUGAUGCUGAGCAUGCUCUCAAUAAGGCACUUGCAGAAUCCAUUGGUGUGAAUACUGAAAACUUGUUGCUUUCACAACCAGAUUGUGGUGAACAAGCACUUAGUCUUGUGGAUACCUUAAUCCGUAGUGGUUCAGUUGACGUAAUUGUUGUUGACAGUCCUAAACCCCGUGCAGAUUCCUGGGCAAGCUGAUAUUCGACAAGCAGAAGGCGGUCCGAACCCCGGUUCCAUGAAUUCAUUCAGUUCUAUGUUAUUAUGGAUCUUAGGAGGUGCUUCAUCUGAGGGUCUCAACUCGUUUUUUUCAAUGUUCAGAGAUGUUAGAGACCAAGGACAAGUUUUUGCUGAAACUCCUCACGAUGAAAACCGUGAGAAUCAGGAUAAUGACAGAUAGUGGUAGAACAUUAGAUUUUGAUCAUAAGUACUUGUUAAUACUUAAUAUAGGAAUAUUGUACGGCAUAUCAUAUAGGUGACUGAACUUUCUCUCUCUUUGGUCCAAAUGAAAAUAAAACUAACGAAAAAGAAUGUGUAUAUAAUGUAUAUGUAUAUUCUUUAUAGCUUUUUUUUUCUUUCUUAAA